UGAAGAGACUCCCCUUCCUAUGAUAAGAGAGACCUGGAGGUUCCUCCCCAGCUGUGGGCUAAGAAGCAGAGCUCUGGGUCAUCUCCACCAUGGCCUGGACCCCUCCCCUGCUCAUCCUCCUCACUCUCUGCACAGGUUCCGUGGUUUCCUCUGAGCUGACUCAGGACCCUGCAGUGUCUGUGGCCUUGGGACAGACAGUCAGGAUCACCUGCCAAGGAGACAGCCUCAGCAGCUAUUCUGCAAGCUGGUACCAGCAGAAGCAAGGCCAGGUCCCUGUGCUGGUCAUCUAUGGUAACAGCAACCGGCCCUCAGGGAUCCCAGACCGAUUCUCUGGCUCCAAGUCAGGAAACACAGCUUCCUUGACCAUCACUGGGGCUCAGGUGGAAGAUGAGGCUGACUAUUACUGUGGCUCCUGGGACAGCAGUGGUAACUAUCCCACAGUGACACAGACAGAUGGGGAA